UGUACAAGACAAGAGCAAAAGAAAUUGUAAGAUAGCUAAGCCUUAGUCCCAACGAGUUAAGCUCGGCUAAGGUUGUAAGUUAAUUAAUGAGUCAGGUUGCUGAAAAACUGCAAGAAAUUGAAGGAAUUGAACUAAAAGUUUCUGUAUGAUUAAUUGUCUGAACUAGGCUCCGAGUUAUGGGGUUUAAAUUCCAUUUCCUUUUAUUCUCUUCAAUUUUUAGGCAGGAUAAAGAUAAAUCUGUUCCUAGCCAAGCAAGAUUAGUUCCACUAGCACAAAAUAUUACUCAAAGAGAGAGGAUACUACUUGACCAAAAUUACAGAGGUUGACUAAACCUCUAACUCUCCAGAAAACCGAGCGAAAUCAUACACUUUUGCUUGGUUGCCUAGAAAAGUAAUAGAAAAAAAAAAGUAAUAAUAAUAAUCCUCCCCUCUUAAAGAAGGGCGAAGAGAUGAAGGAAAGACCUGAAUUUCUCCUUCACACUCGAACAAAACAAACAAACAUUUCAGUCCAGUUAAGUCUAAUAAGUUUUACAGCUUGGAUAAAAAUAUAUGAGACACGUAUUUUCUUGUUCUUGUGCUUUUCCCGGCAAACAAACAGACCCAGAACAACAAUUUUGAGUUUUGAGAUAUACCCAGCAAACGUCACUUA
rnacentral:misc_RNA from 1 species